rnacentral:rRNA from 1 species
CCUACGGGUGGCAGCAGUGAGGAAUAUUGGUCAAUGGCCGGAAGGCUGAACCAGCCAUGCCGCGUGAAGGUCAGUGCCCUAUGGGCGUUAAACUUCUUUUGUGCGGGAGCAAUAAUGGUCACGUGUGGCCAGACGAGAGUACCGUACGAAUAAGCAUCGGCUAACUCCGUGCCAGCGGCCGCGGUAAUACGGGGGAUGCAAGCGUUAUCCGGAGUUAUUGGGUUUAAAGGGUGCGUAGGCUGGGAGGUAAGUCAGCGGGGGAAUGCCCCCGCUCAACGGGGUGAAGUGCCAUUGAUACUGGCUUGCUGGAAUGCGGAUGCGGUGGGAGGAAUGUGUGGUGUAGCGGUGAAAUGCAUAGAUAUCACACAGAACACCGAUUGCGAAGGCAUCUCACGAAUCCGCGAUUGACGCUGAUGCACGAAAGCGUGGGUAUCAAACAGGAUUAGAUACCCUAGUAGUC